rnacentral:lncRNA from 1 species
CUCAUUAGGGCCGUACCUGUGGCAUAUGUAAGUUCUCAGCUCAAAUCAGAGCUAUGGCUGCCAGUCUACACCACAGCCAUAGCAACACGGGAUUUGAGCCAUAUCUGUGACCCACACCACCACAGCUCGUGGCAACACUGGAUUCUUAACUCACUGGGUGAGUGGGUUAAGACAGACUGAAUCCGCGUCCUCAUGGUUACUAGUUGGGUACUUAACCCACUGAGCAACAGGAACGCCCCAGAUUCUGUAUUUUAAAAAGCACAGCACAGUGUUGCUGUGGCUGUGGUGUAGGCCAGCAGCUGUAGCUCCAACUGGAUCCUAGCCUGGGAACCUCCAAAUGCUGCGGGUGCGGCCCUAAAAAAAAGCAAAAAAAAAAAAGCACAGCACAUUGGGAUGUCUCCUGGCCCCACCACUGCUGGCAUCAGGGAACCAGUGAUUUGAGUCGGAGGGCCUAAGGUCAGUGAUGAGCUGAGGCUGGCUUGUCCCAGCUCACAAGAGCUGACUGCUGAAUUUUCAGGCAUCAUGCAAACCGUUAUCAAAAGUUAUAUAAGUUUACUAUUAAAUAAAUUAUAUCAAAACCAAAGCUAAUACUCAAAGCUCAUCAUGUCCUACUCACUCACCACAUUUUACUAUUAUCUGUGUUCUUGAGGUUUUCACAUCUGUUGUAUAUGGAGUGGUGGGAAAUGCUAUGUAAUGGUCUACGGCCAUGCAUCUCUUCCCAAGUCCAUGCUCAGGGAGAUCACGUUGGUAACUUGAGAUCCAAACAUUUAUACCAUGGAAAUCAGCAAACACUAAAAAUGGGGGCUUGAUUUAUUAGAUUGUCUCUAGAUAUGAGAAAAUGAUGGAAAAGUGUAAAUAAUGCAUAUUAAACUUAAAAACAUGUCAUGCCUGUAGCUAGCACAUUGUGAAUAGCACAAAAGUAGAAGAAAUAGUCUUUCAAUAUUUGAAAAUUGCCUGAUUUUAGAGAAGAUGUUACUCUCUCUUUGCUGACAAACAAGCAAAAUUCCAAAAUAUGAUGUCUUCCUUGUUUCAGCAAUCAGUUGACUAUUUCAUCAUUCUUUGCGAAUCACUGCGUUGCUGUGGCUGUGGCGUAGGCCGGCAGCUGAGCUAUAUAAAAUACAUAAUAAAGGGUAUUGUAUGUUUUAUUGUUUGUGAACUUUGUAUUUUAUCGAGUUCUUACUGUAUGCAUGUACUGUAUUUAAUAGUAUAUUAAAUAAGAGCAUAUUAAAGAGAAAAUUGUAUAUUCUAUUAAAUUUGUGAGUUACAUGUAUAUUUUUUGUACAUCAGGAAAAUUUCUAGUAGACUUACAUUUCAUUAUAUAUGGAUACACACUUCUUUCUAGAGAUCCGGUUGUUAGAACAUUUACCAGCCUACCACCGCCCAAGCCAAGAACAAAAACAGGCUGGGCAGCUUCUUUGCUUUCUAUCCUACAGGUCCACACCCUUAUCUCAGCUCUUUAGUUUACCAUUCCCCUGUCGGAGAGAAACACAAAGAAUUGUAUAAGAACACAAAUCAAUAGGAAGAGAUUUUCAUGAAGAUGCAAAGCAGGUAAUUGAAUUGGCCUAAGCCAGCCCUUCCUACGGAGGAUGUCUUGCGAUCUUCCAAGCAGAGGCAAUCUUAGGCUGAUCAGACACACCCGCCAUGUGGAAAAAAAUAAGGGAGAAUCCUAACAGACAGCACGCUUGAGACCAUAACCUAAUAAAUGUCCUUCCCCUUGAACCCACAUCAAUGGCUCCUCGGGAGCGGAGGAGGGAUGGGUAGAGCUGUCAAAGUAGUGAACAAGAGGUCUGAAUCCUCUUGUCCAAUUUGGGACAUGUCUGGGGUACAUAAAGCUCAAAGAUCUCCCCCUUUCACCAAGCAGAGAAUACCAUGGUUCCUUACACAUUUUAAUACUAUCAUUGCUCAUGAUUUAAAAAUAUCUUUCUCGGAAGUUCCCAUUAUGGUGCAGUGGAACGAAUCCGACUAGUAUCCAUGAGGACGUGGGUUUGAUCCCUGGCCUCACUCAGUGGGUCAAAGCAAAAGUCUACCAAAUAUCUGUUUUUAUCUGAGUACCAUGAGGCAGAAACUCCUGCUAAAGAGUCAUCCUACAAUUAAAGUGUAAUUUUUCAAUUAUGAGAAAACACAAUUGGUGCAGAUAAGGUAAACUGCUUUUGAAUGUUUACUUACGUUACUGCAAAUAUAAAUGCACAAAAAGACUUCUCUGAUCUCCUAAUAAGAGAUGAGUCAACGCUACCAUCAUAAAAAUGUUCACUUAACUACCCACCUGAAAAGGAAACUGACCUUGGAACCAUUUAGAAAAAAACACCACGUUAUGGGCUAGUCCUGACAAAAGGUUAAGUAAUACUUUUACUUGAUCGGUAUGUUCCCGAAACCAAGGCACAGAACGAGACUCCUCAAGUCCUUAAAAAAGGAAUGUGUUUGGUGAAGGUCAGACUGACACAUUUAGGGGCUGCGAGGGAUGAAGAGUGGGAGAAUCGCAGCCAGCCCGGCAUCCUACAACAUAUGAGCCUUGUGUUAUAUUUUAUGAAUUAAUCACUACAUUAGUGAUAGUAAGGAUGAGGGGUGGAAAACGAUACACUUCAAAGAAAAACAUAGCCAAGACAAUCACAAAACGAUCUGGGGAAAAUCAAAGAGAUAUUUCUACUUACCACACUCUGGUAUCCGCACAGAAAGAACAUGUACUUUCAACCACAAAGACAUUUAUUAAGUUAAAAAAAUUUAUUAGACUUUUCUUUUUCCAUAGCUCAUUAUCUCAUAGCAAAACUAAAGUACUCUUUGGUCAUCCCCCGAUACCUUGCCCUCUAAAUAAGAACAUCGAGGUGUUUUCCUGUUGGCCCCUUAAUUAUUAAUUCACGCCAGUUACCAGCCUUCCAUGAAUCAGGUUAAAGGGAUAUAAGAGUCAUAAAUAUUAACAUCUAGACGACACUAAGGUUAUUGCGGCUUUAGACAGAAACUUAUUUCCGUAAUAUUCUCAUUUUUUAUAGUCCUGCAGCAGGUGCGACUGAGAAGUUCAAGAAGCUGUUUUCACAUCAACAGAGAGACAUUUCCCCAGCUCAUUAAAUGGGCUAACCUCCAGGAUUACCUAUUAGAUUGCUGUUUUAAAAGAGGAAUCUCUUAUGGGGCUCUGGGACCAACCUGUCUGUCUUGAAUCCCAUCACUGCCACUGUUAGCUGUGUCAUCUUAGACAAGUUACUCAACAUGUCUUUUGUGAAAUGCUGAUAAUACUAAUACCUAUCUUACAGGGUUGUGAUGAAAACUCAUGAGUUAAUAAUACAUAUAAAACAUUGAGAACAAUGCCUGAAACGCAGUAGUUAACUUUUUUUUUUUUUUUUUUUUUUAACAGCCAGACCUGUAGAAUAUGGAUGUUUCCAGGCCAGGGGUUGAACUGGAGCUGCAGCUGGGGCAACACCAACCAUGGCAACACCAGAUCCAAGCCACAUCUGCUACCUUGUGGCAAUGCCAGAUCCUUAACCCACUAAGCAAGGCCAGGGACCAAACCUGCAUUCUCACAGAGACAAUGUUGGGAGACCAGUCCACUGAUCCACAACAGGAACUCCUAGCUAUUACUAUUAUAUUACUAUAUUUUCACAGCCAGCAUGCGUAUGGUUUGAAGAAAACGUUUGAAUCUACUCAAUGGGAAUGAAGUAACUAGGUAAAUAGAAAAAUUAUAUUGAAAUAUCUAACUAUAAAACAGUAGUACUGUCAAGAACUUCUCAAAUGACGUUUUAAAAACAUUAAUUUACUUUACUGGAUUUUCCAUUUUUAAAGUUUUUCAGGAGGCUAUUCCUCCCAAUAUUUUCCAAAGCUGUCAUGACUCAUUGAGGACUCAAGAAAACACAGAAAAG